rfam:Glycine soja cultivar W05 scaffold198_74, whole genome shotgun sequence.
AUUAUUAGUUCAAUUCAAUAGAACGCGGGUCUCCAAAACCUAAUGUUGUAGGUCCAAAUCCUAUAGAAU